rnacentral:rRNA from 1 species
AGUGAACGCUGGCGGUAGGCCUAACACAUGCAAGUCGAACGGCAGCACAGUAAGAGCUUGCUCUUACGGGUGGCGAGUGGCGGACGGGUGAGGAAUACAUCGGAAUCUACUUUUUCGUGGGGGCUAACGUAGGGAAACUUACGCUAAUACCGCAUACGACCUACGGGUGAAAGCAGGGGAUCUUCGGACCUUGCGCGAUUGAAUGAGCCGAUGUCGGAUUAGCUAGUUGGCGGGGUAAAGGCCCACCCAGGCGACGAUCCGUAGCUGGUCUGAGAGGAUGAUCAGCCACACUGGAACUGAGACACGGUCCAGACUCCUACGGGAGGCAGCAGUGGGGAAUAUUGGACAAUGGUCGCAAGCCUGAUCCAGCCAUACCGCGUGGGUGAAGAAGGCCUUCGGGUUGUAAAGCCCUUUUGUUGGGAAAGAAAAGCAGCAGGUUAAUACCCCGCUGUUCUGACGGUACCCAAAGAAUAAGCACCGGCUAACUUCGUG